UACGUAGGCAGCGAGCGUUGUUCGGAAUUACUGGGCGUAAAGAGUGUGUAGGCGGUGUUCUAAGUCUGUUGUGAAAUCUCCCGGCUCAACUGGGAGGGUGCAGCGGAAACUGGAAUGCUAGAGUGUGGGAGAGGUAAGCGGAAUUCCUGGUGUAGCGGUGAAAUGCGUAGAUAUCAGGAGGAACACCUGCGGUGUAGACAGCUUACUGGACCACGACUGACGCUGAGACACGAAAGCGUGGGUAGCAGACAGG
rnacentral:rRNA from 1 species